CCGAACGAGAGAACAUUCCGGUCCUCUCCUCUCUCAUCCUCUCUUUAUGGGGCCGGUCAGCGCCUAGACACACAUACACACACACACACACUCAUACUGACACACAUAUGCGCGCAUACACACACACACACAUACACACACACACGAUGAAGGUCCCACUGCUGUUUUUCUGCUUGCCGUUGGCUGGGAUGUGUUCAGUAGAUGGAAGCCUGGAGCUGGAGGCAAGACAAGAAGAGUUGCUGAGCAGUCUCUUUCGCUCAAAGGUGGGUGUGUACCUCUGGAUGGCGGCGCUGAGGACCGUGUGUGGCCGGCUCCCCUGGUUGGACGGGCAGGGACAGGAGGCGUGGCCUCGGUACAGCUCCCAGCUCCAGCUGAUCGAGGGGCUUUACUACCUGCAGAAACCCUGCAGAGUACUGUACCUGUGGGAGACUGGACAAGAUGAUCUCGCAGGUCAAAAUCGUGUAGAAAAGAAGAGCAAUAAUAAGCGGAAAUCACUGCGAAGGCAAUUUCACGCCAGCACGGCGAGGAAACCGUAUCUUCUGAAGUGAAGUCGGAAGGGAUUGAUCCGGCACCAAACUACUCCUGGGAGAGGCCUUGUAAAUACUGUGAACGUUUGUGCCUGUGCAAGCGCGGUAAAACGUUAUGUUGUCUGUAAACUCUGUGAAUGUUACAGUAUAGCUUAAAUAAAUAAAUAAUAAUAAUAAAUAUGUAAAUACACACAAGCAACUACACAGUUUACUGUAGAGGGGAAGAGACAACAACGGGUGCCUUUUCGAGGUCCGGGGUCCAAUGUGAGAGGUUUUCAUUGGAGCUCAAAAUCCCGGGAGGUAUCCUUGACUGGAUCUUCCCCAGAAGCAUCUGUAAACCGAAAGGACAAUUCCAGAAAAUGUGCAAAAGGGAAUGCCGACGUUGACAUGGGCAUGUUAAAAGUUUAAUUUUGUGGGGGAGAAUUGGGCGUAAUAAACAGUAUC